rnacentral:rRNA from 1 species
GAUGAACGCUAGCGGCAGGCCUAAUACAUGCAAGUCGAGGGAGAAUGUUGGAUUCGUCUGACAUGAAACCGGCGCACGGGUGCGUAACACGUAUGCAACCUACCUUUAACUGGGGUAUAGCUCAGAGAAAUCUGAAUUAAUCCCCCAUAAGACUACGACAUGGCAUCAUGAUGUAGUUAAAGCUCCGGCGGUUAAGGAUGGGCAUGCGGUACAUUAGCUAGUUGAUGAGGUAAUGGCUCACCAAGGCUACGAUGUAUAGGGGGUCUGAGAGGAUGAUCCCCCACACUGGUACUGAGACACGGACCAGACUCCUACGGGAGGCAGCAGUAGGGAAUAUUGGUCAAUGGACGCAAGUCUGAACCAGCCAUGCCGCGUGAAGGAUGAAGGCCCUAUGGGUCGUAAACUUCUUUUAUUAGGGAAGAUAAAACGGGAUGCGUCCUGUACUGACGGUACUUAAUGUAUAAGGAUCGGCUAACUUCGUGCCAGCAGCCGCCGUAA